rnacentral:lncRNA from 1 species
CAAACGGCCGGAAUACGCGGCCGAAGACCAGCGGCGCCGCCGCGCCCCCUCUCGGUUUUUGCCUCCGACGAGGCCCUUCCCGGCCUCCCGAGGGCCUUAGGGUUGUUUUCUCACAGGGACCGAUGCGAGUGUGGCCGAAUUCGGCCGAAAACAGCCAACCCGAGGCGACUCGCCGCCGCCAGCGGCGGCGCCGUCGCCGGAGCACGGCGGAGCCGCCGUGCCAGAGUUGCGAUUUGGGCCGAAAGAGGCCCUGGGCCUAAUUUGGGUUUUUUUUGGAACACGUGCAGGUACUGUUAGUGUGUUUCAGUUCCCCGGGAAAAAUUCAGGGAAAAUUAGGGACGGCCUGUAGGCGAACUGUGAAUCGUAUUCGGAUCCCGAAAACAAGUAAGGACUCCUCACCCUAUUUCCUAUCACGGUAUUAAAGUUCAAAAUGAUAAAACGGUAUUUCUUGAAUUAACGCAUGUGUGAAAUUGCUUAAGGUUGCUAAUG